ensembl:lncRNA novel transcript
GAGUGCCAGACAGUGGGCGCACGCAGGAUACUCAAACUUGAAACCAACCUACCUUAUCGUGAGGAAGCCUGGUUCAAAUGGAGAGGCCAAUGUAGGUGUACAACAGACAGUCCCAGCUGAAAGGCCCAGCUUGCACACAACAUCACUGCCAGACGAAUGAGAAGGGCCUUAUGAUGAUUCCAGCAUCAGACAUUUGACUUGGCCCAGCUUUUGCUGAACUGCAUCUUCUCUAGGUCUCAUCUCCACUGCUUCCUCUCCUUGGCUUCAGGAGGUACCAGGUGGCUUUACUGCAGCCUCUGUCACCCUGUGAUCUACAGGCACUGGGGGAGCCAUAGGGAGGAUGCCAAAGCUGGGAAAAGAUUUUUAUUGUUUUAAAGAGUAUUAGAAGAAGCGAAUGUUAAGAUGGCCUACUAGAUGCAGCCAGGAGGAACAUCUGCCACCAAGGGACCAUGACAUCGGGAAGAUCUGCACUUUAAGCAGAUCUAUAGAGGAAGGCAUGCAGAGUGGAUAGAGAGAUGGAUGGAGUGGAUAGAUCACCCUGGGCUGAAAGGGGAGGAAGCUGGGAACGCUGCACAGGGCUAUCACCUACUGGAACUGGCUCUGGGCCCCCAGUGACUCAUGGGAAAAGGGUGCGCUAAAAGGUAAGGCAUGACCUGCUCUUCCUACAAACUUCUGGAAUCCUGGCAUCAGGAGACCCCACAAACCCCAUGGACACUUGAACUGGCAGGGAGAGAUGCUUAGAGAGUUGGUAGGGGCAGAACUCCAGCCUGUACAGAACACGGAAUGUUGAGUGUGGGACAUCUGCAGAGGAGCAUAGCCAGGGGUGCCCACUUCCCAAAGCAGCCUGCCAUGCUCUCCUAGGAGACUUUAGCCUUAGGGGAACUGACAGACCUAAACAGAGCAGGACAGGCCAAUUUGAUCUCAAUGUGCCCUCUCUGCCACCCCCUACUCCAUCUGGUGGAAUCUCCCAGGGCCCUGGCCUGGCUGAACCCACUUGCAAUGCAGCCUUGGAUGACCAACUGGGUGCCUCCUGGAAGCCACAUCAUAGUCUUUUCACUGGUUGACUAUGCCUGACCAUCAGAGAGCUCCAGCAGAGUGGCCCUUGAUGACUCUCACCAGUCCACCUGAACCCUCCCACCACUGCAUCCCCUAUGCCACUUUGCCAUGCACUUGUCAUAGCCCUCCCAAACCCCUCCGCACAUUGCUUAGCCAGCUUGCAGGUGCAGGGGACCUUCCCUUCCUUCUCCAGCUGAGGCCAUCCACCACAAUCAAGUAGGCUUUAUCUCUGGGUUACAAGGUUGGUUCAACGUAUGCAAAUCAAUGUACCCCACCAUGCCACUGCUGCCAAUGUGAGUGUACCCCCAACCAACUGCAUAGCCAUUGCCAUUUUGAACAUGUAUAUGGAGGCCAGUGGCCCCACCCUUCAUUGUGUACCACCACCUCUGCUGGCCCAAAUGAAUGCAUGGUUCCAGAAGCCCUGCACCCACCAGAGCUCUGCCCAGAGCUGACAUCACCACUGACACAAACAUGCAUACAAAGGUUGGCAGCCUGGCAACCACCGGUGCCCCACUCGAGCUGGCGAGAGUGCACCCUGCCAUACUGCCUGCUAUUGGUACAUGCACAUGAGCACAGUUCCCAUUGCCACUGCUGCAGUGAAGCACUUUGGCUGGCACCAUCUGUUGAAGUAUUGUGACCAGCUGCUGUGACCCAUCUAGCACAGCAGGUUCCUAAACUCAAGUGGCCAGUUGACAAAGCCAGGGGCCUGAUACCAACCUUCCAGAGUUAUGGCAUAAAUCCCAAGAGUGCUGAGCUGAGCCUUGGCUCCCUAAAAUCUUCCAGAAAUGAAGCCAGCUGACUGAAGCCACCUUAUACCACAAUGAAACCCCGAAGAGCAUAAAAACAAGAUAAAAGCAAAAAAGACAACAACUUUAAAGACUUAAGGAAUAUUGGCACACACAGAUGAGAAAGAAUAAGCCAGAACUCUGGCAAAUCAAAAAGCCAGAGUGUCUUAACAAUGAAUGCC